GCUCAGGACCAGACUGGCGCCGGCCAGGGACACGGCACUCGCCGCGCCCCACAGCAGCAGCUUCUGCCACACGAGCCCCAGCCAGAUGCCCGCCAUCGCCCUCGCUGGCGACUGCUGGGUGCGCUCCGGGCGAGUGCGGGCCCGCGGGGACGCGAUGAGAGGCGGCGCCGGCCGCGCACCGCCCCCUUCCCCUCGCGGGCCUGGCGCUGCGGAGUCGCCGGGUCCCCGGAACGACGUUUCCCGCCUGGGCGGCGGCCAGGGAGGGCGCCACGGGGCUGUUCCUGCGCCCGGCCCGGGCUACGCAGCACCGCGGCCUCCGCGCUCCGCGCCAGCCGAAAGCGAAAGACCGGAAAACGGUUUCCGGGCCCCGGGGCGUGGUGAUUGCACGAGGCCCGGAGGCUGGGCCGGGAGGAGGCCGGCGACAGACACUUCAGGCCGCCUCGGGAUAGGGGUCGGGGGCCGUCGGAACGGUCACCGCGGCAGCCCGGCGCGCCCCAGCGGGGCUGGUCUGCGGGUCCUGCGAGGCCGCUCUGACGUGCGGGGUUCCGCGGGCGGGCAGCCGGCUCUUAAGGGAAAGGAAGGCGCAUCCGCCCCCGGCUCGGAUCCCAGCUCUGCCGCGCAGCGCUCGCUGCUUGCGCGACCUCCAGGCCCCGGGAGGCGGGGCGCGUCCUGGCUCCGGCGGGGUCACACGGAGCAGCGGGCGCUGGGAUCCAGGGUGGCCUUGGGGACGCAACUUUAGGGAAGUCACCUACCCCUGUGUGUGCGCUGGCCCCCUGGGACACUGGGAGCGAAAUGAGGUGGUCGUGCAUAUUUUAUUUUCCAAAAUAUGCACCAGGCACCAGACCGAGGAAGCCGGAGCCCCGGAGAGCACGGAGGGGCGGGUGGGGGAGGAAGGCGGGGGAGGCUGCUCAGCGGGUGCUGGGAGACCGCAGCCGCGGGGGACUCGCAGAAGAGCCAAGACUGGCCACCCAGCCUGGGAAGGGAGGGAAGGACCGCGAGAGGGUGCCCGAUUUCAGCCCGGGGAGACGCGUGUCCCGGCUGCCAGUCUCUCUUCCCGGCAGAGGGCCCCGGUGCUGACCCCAGCCCCUUUUCCAUGCUCGAUGCUUCUUACAAAGAGGCCCGGCGAGGAGUGUCGCUCUCCAAGAGGCCAGGCCCUUACUAAGCACCAAAGUGCCAGGAAGAUGAAAUAGAAUGUCCUGGAUGCCCGCUUUGCUUAAUUACUAAUUACGUUCGUUUACUCGAAGCCACUGCGUAGGUUGCCCACAGCCACCUGCAGCGCCUCUGGAGUGCAGAGAAGAACAUGCCUCAGGCUUUUCUCCAUCUGAAUUUAAGUCAUCUGCCUGUGCUGACGUGAAAUAGCAAGUGAACAAUUUCUAUUUGUUGCUAUUUCAAAUAGAACGGUGGCUCACGCCUGUAAUCCCAGCACUUUGGGAGGCCAAGGCGGGCGG